rnacentral:rRNA from 1 species
GAUGAACGCUAGCUACAGGCUUAACACAUGCAGGUCGAGGGGCAGCAUGUUGGUUGCUUGCAACCAAUGAUGGCGACCGGCGCACGGGUGCGUGACACGUAUCCAAUCUGCCCGUUACUCGGGGAUAGCCUUCUGAAAGGAAGAUUAAUACCCGAUGGCAUGUAUUUCCGGCAUCGGAGAUACAUUAAAGAUUUAUUGGUAACGGAUGAGGAUGCGUACGAUUAGCUAGUUGGCGGGGUAACGGCCCACCAAGGCUACGAUCGUUAGGGGUUCUGAGAGGAAGGUCCCCCACACUGGAACUGAGACACGGUCCAGACUCCUACGGGAGGCAGCAGUGAGGAAUAUUGGUCAAUGGGCGCGGGCCUGAACCAGCCAAGUAGCGUGAAGGAUGACUGCCCUACGGGUUGUAAACUUCUUUUGUUUGGGAAUAAAUGAUACUACGUGUAGUAUUUUGCAUGUACCUUACGAAUAAGCAUCGGCUAAUUCCGUGCCAGCCGCCGCGGUAAUAC